GACGAAGGAUGCAAGCGUUAUCCGGAUUCAUUGGGCUUAAAGGGCGCGUAGGUGGCCUUAUAAGUCAGUGGUGAAAUCUCUGGGCUUAACCCAGAAAUUGCCAUUGAUACUGUAGGGCUUGAGUACAGUUGCUGUGGGCGGAAUAUGACAUGUAGUGGUGAAAUACAUAGAGAUGUCAUAGAACACCGAUUGCGAAGGCAGCUCACAAAACUGUAACUGACACUGAGGCGCGAAAGUGCGGGGAUCAAACAGG
rnacentral:rRNA from 1 species